rnacentral:tRNA from 1 species
GCCUCCUUGGCUCAGUUGGCUAGAGCGCAGGUCUCAUAAUCCUGAGGUCGCAAGUUCGAGCCUUGCAGGGGGCA